rnacentral:rRNA from 1 species
AUUGAACGCUGGCGGCAGGCCUAACACAUGCAAGUCGAGCGGAUGAAGGGAGCUUGCUCCUGGAUUCAGCGGCGGACGGGUGAGUAAUGCCUAGGAAUCUGCCUGGUAGUGGGGGAUAACGUCCGGAAACGGGCGCUAAUACCGCAUACGUCCUGAGGGAGAAAGUGGGGGAUCUUCGGACCUCACGCUAUCAGAUGAGCCUAGGUCGGAUUAGCUAGUUGGUGGGGUAAAGGCCUACCAAGGCGACGAUCCGUAACUGGUCUGAGAGGAUGAUCAGUCACACUGGAACUGAGACACGGUCCAGACUCCUACGGGAGGCAGCAGUGGGGAAUAUUGGACAAUGGCCGAAAGCCUGAUCCAGCCAUGCCGCGUGUGUGAAGAAGGUCUUCGGAUUGUAAAGCACUUUAAGUUGGGAGGAAGGGCAGUAAGUUAAUACCUUGCUGUUUUGACGUUACCAACAGAAUAAGCACCGGCUAACUUCGUG